rnacentral:rRNA from 1 species
ACUGAACGCUGGCGGCAUGCUUUACACAUGCAAGUCGAACGGUAACAGGGUGCUUGCACCGCUGACGAGUGGCGAACGGGUGAGUAAUGCGUCGGAACGUGCCGAGUAGUGGGGGAUAACGCAUCGAAAGGUGUGCUAAUACCGCAUACGUACUGAGGUAGAAAGUGGGGGACCUUCGGGCCUCACGCUAUUCGAGCGGCCGACGUCUGAUUAGCUAGUUGGUGAGGUAAAGGCUCACCAAGGCGACGAUCAGUAGCGGGUCUGAGAGGAUGAUCCGCCACACUGGGACUGAGACACGGCCCAGACUCCUACGGGAGGCAGCAGUGGGGAAUUUUGGACAAUGGGCGCAAGCCUGAUCCAGCCAUGCCGCGUGUCUGAAGAAGGCCUUCGGGUUGUAAAGGACUUUUGUCCGGGAGCAAAUACCCAGUGCUAAUAACACUGGGGGCUGAGAGUACCGGAAGAAUAAGCACCGGCUAACUACGUGCCAGCCGCCGCGGUAAAAC